UGGAGGUCACACAUCAUGCCGUUUGAUGCUGGAAUACACUGCAUAGCGGGUGAUCUCCCUA
rnacentral:pre_miRNA from 1 species